rnacentral:sRNA from 1 species
UGGUAUGUUUAUUUUUUGUUUGUUCCCCACACAUAAUAUGUAUAGUGUCAUGUCUUUCAGAGGAAUGUAGCUAGUUUUUUUGUUUGAUAAUGCUCAUAUGUCAAGAAUUGCUAUGGAAACUUAUUGUGCUUUUGUGUUUUCAAUACAAGGAUAAGAAGUAAACAAAAUGGCGGCGUUGAUUCUGUCGCUGUGGCAACGAUCACGUGACUUAUGGUUGAUAUUGUGUAUGUAUCACAAUGGGUUUCUGAUGUACGUCAGCAUGUUGUGAGGAGUCUCUGUAUUGUAUGAACCUGACCGAGCAAUUAGAUACCAUAGCUGUAAAACUACUUAAUAAAACGAUCUAAACC